ACUCCUACGGGAGGCAGCAGUGGGGAAUUUUGGACAAUGGGGGCAACCCUGAUCCAGCAAUGCCGCGUGAGUGAAGAAGGCCUUCGGGUUGUAAAGCUCUUUUGUCAGGGAAGAAACAGCAGCUCUAACACAGUCUGCGAAUGACGGUACCUGAAGAAUAAGCACCGGCUAACUACGUGCCAGCAGCCGCGGUAAU
rnacentral:rRNA from 1 species